rnacentral:lncRNA from 1 species
UGGCAAGAUGCCAUUUUUUGUCUUCCUUGAUUUUCUACAACUUCAGUAGUGAAGCAAGUUUUUUUAUUUUUAUUUUUUAUUUUUUUUUUUAGAAAUCCAGAUAUCCUAUUUAUGACAUGUGAGACACUGUCCUGAGAAAUGCUGAUUGCAAGCACUCUGAUUUCCCAGGGAGUAUAUUAGCAGGUAGCUGUAUGGAAAGGUUACAGAGCUGCACAAGGGUAGCUGGCUGCCCUUGUUGACUGGCAAUGGGAGACAGCACCUUUCAGCUCCAGCUUACUGAUGGCAUUUAAAACAGAAAUGGAUUUCACCUAAGUCUUUGAUCCUCUCAUGUCUGAGGAGUACUGCAGAAUGAGGAGCUAAGGAAAUACGUGAAUGUGGACCAAUGCCAACCAUUUUACAUCAUUUUCUAAAACUUGCGCAAAUGCAAGACCAGCUGCACCUGAGCAACCUCAUGGAUGUCUGCAGGUGACUGAGAGCAACUUAUCAGAAGGGAGACUAAUGAAAACAUUUGAUGCACCCAGAAGAAUGCCUCUGUAACCACAUGGUUUACAUGCUUCCUCCAUUUUCCACCUUUUCCACCUUUUCUAAGCCUGUGGUUGGACAAAUGUUCAUAAAGAUGUAGACCUCUGAAGCACAUAUGCUUAAAUCUGUAAACAUAUUUACAUGCCUGAGACUGGACC